AAAAGAGAUGGUCCCUGAUAGGUGCCCAUAGAGGGUGAAGGACUGAAAUGGAGAAAGACCCAGGCAUGGCCUGGAGCCAAAGGAAUGGGAAGGCGGACACUCUUGUGGGAAGGACACUGGAUCAGGAGUCAAGACACCAGGGCUGCAGCCCUGGCUUGGCCGCCAACGGGAUGUGUGAGUUUGGCGGGCCAUUCAGUUUCCCACAGUCACCACCCAGCUUGUCUCCUAACAUGGGAUCUUUGUUGGAGACCAUGACUCUCAAAUCCUGGACAGACCCUGUGUGUCUUUGCUCUGCCUCCCCCCCCCCCACCCCCCAGGGCCAGCCUUCUGGAUGCUCAGCAGGUGCAUGGGAUGGGGGAGGAACUGGGAGGGGCAGUGAUGGGGAAGUGAGGGGAUCCCAGGGGACCUGGUGUCCUGAACCCCCUUUCCCACGCCUCCAGCCUCAGGGCCUGGGAAGAGGGUGAGGUGGCAACAGGAGGAGGAGGUGUCACUGCCAGGGUUCUCACCCAAGCUGGCAGAGGGGCGGGACUGGCGGUGGUGACGCCAGGGCCACUCGGCCCCCGCUUUUCACAAGCACUUUCUUUUUUGGAAGAAAUUGGAGUGAGGGGGUGAGGAAUCUGGGGUUGAUGACCCCCUAACAGCCCAUCGAGUUACAGAGAGACUGCCUCCAAUCACCUUCUUCCUCCAGGGACUGUCCCCAGGUCCACCUGACUCUGAGAUUCAUAAUCCCUUCUGCCCUGGAAACCGGGGCGGGAGCUCAGGUCAUCCUGUUCAGAGGCAGGGGGAUGGAUCUCUUGACCUGUGGAUUGGCGUGGAAGAGAGGAGGGAGAGAGAGAAGGAGGAACAAAACUCCAUUUGGCCUUCCACAGUCAGGCAAUGCUGCCUCACUCGGAACAGCAGGCAGAAACUUCCCGCCUCCCUGAAGCAUGGGGAAAUGGUGGGUAAAGGGGUGGGAGGGGCCAGUCCCCAGUUCUGGUGCUGUCUUGUAUCGGGUCUCCAUUUUCAGGGGAUGUGCUGAUUCUCCCUCCCUCCACCCUCCCUGGGUCAUGCCCGCCUCCUGGGGUCCGCAGCUUCUCCUUCACCUGCCAACCUGCCUCUCGGUUCAGCUCUAGUUGGGAGCAGAGAGUCCCCAUGGAGCCCUAAGGGUGGAGCCCUGUUGGGCUGGGACAGCGAUACAGAGAUGGGGCCAGCCCCCAGGGGACAAGUGAGGAGGGCUGGGAGGGUGCGGGGAGAGGAGAGGUUAACCUUUAACAUGAUGAAAAUAUGAAAGUAUUUUUCAAAACCCUCUUUAAAAUGUAAAUCUUUAUCUAUAUAUUGACAUGCAAAAAAUUCCAUGACACCUUAUUGAGUGAAAAAAAAAACACAUUACAAAGCAGCACGUGUGGUGUUUAUAUAAAAUGUGUGUGUGUGUGUGUGUGUGUGUGUGUGUGUGUGUUCGCGCAUAAGACAGAAAGGCUGUGUGCAGGGAGUGACGUCUGGAAAGGUGCUCACCAAAAUGCGAAUCCUGUUUGCCUCUGCGGGAUGGAGUUUGGGGUGGUUUAUUGUAACAGUCCCAUUUUUACUGCUUACAUUUUCUAGGAGUGUGCUUUAUCCGUAUGUGCAAGAAAACUCCCAAUGAUGCUGUUUUCAACUGGGGGGAAAGGAUUGUUUUCAUCCUAAGACGACUCUGUUAGUCAACAGAAAAACAAACUAGAGAAAGAAAAGCCCUAGUAGUGGUCCUAUCUCACAGGCAGUCCUGCGGAACAAGUUGUGGGGUGGGGGGCGUCCUGCCCCGUCAGCGGGCUCUGAACCUGUUCCCAGCAGCCUUCCGAGCAGAGGGAAGAAUAGACUGGAAAGUGCUGCACAGGUCCACCCUCUAGGGUAAGGCUCACAGCCCCUCUGAAAAGGAAAUCAGCUUAUUUCCCCCAUUCUACGGUUGGGAGGCUGCCUUUCAGGCAAGGGAAGUGACUUGCCCAGGUCACACAUACCUGAGUGACAGGCAGAGCCAGGGACGAGACUCUGAGCACGGGCAGCCCAGGGCUGCUUCCAGUGCCCUGGCCGCCCCCGCCGGCCCUGCAAACCUGAAGCUGCAGCAGCGGGUGCAAUCCCUUUCAAGGAGCUCUUCCCGCUGCCCCCAGCUUCCAGCUCCGCCUUGGGGCUGUUGGAACGAGAUGCAUGGGACACAGCCCAGCUGGGUCUCUGCCCCCCCCCCCCCCCCGAGGAAGAGCGCAAACACUUCAGGCACAGCCACCUAGCACAGAGCCUGGGCACACAGUGGGCAUCAGUGAUCUGCUGAAUGUUCGCGGUCUAAGCAUUUCGGACUGGGUGCAGACCCCGCUGCUGCGCCGAGCGGCGAGUGCGGCCGCAAGGCCCUGUGAGUCUCAUCUGGGCCAUCACCGAAGGCUUCCUGUAGGAGGGGACCUUUGAACUGAGCCUGGAAGGAUGGGUGGAAUUUCCACGAGGCUCCAGAGGAGAGAAACAGGCUGGCGUUUCGGGUGGACGGGUGGACUUUUCCAGAAGGCAGUCUUUAAGCGCGAACUUGGCGGCGCGCGGGGACCCGCCACGCCGUGAGGGCCUCUGGUCCUCGGCGGCUGCUUCGAAUUUGCCGAGUAUUAGCCACGAGGGGGCGGGGUGAGGCGGGGCGGGGCC